rnacentral:rRNA from 1 species
AGCAGCCGCGGUAAUUCCAGCUCCAAUAGCGUAUAUUAAAGUUGUUGCAGUCAAAAAGCUCGUAGUUGAAUUUCGGGAUCAAUACGUCGGUCGUGCUUCGGUACGUACUGGCGUGAUUGAUUUCUCCCUUCUGACGAACCAUGAUGUCAUUUAUUUGGUGUCGUGGGGAAUCAGGACUGUUACUUUGAAAAAAUCAGAGUGUUUAAAGCAGGCUCACGCUUGAAUACAUUAGCAUGGAAUAAUGAAAUAGGACGUUUGAUUCUAUUUUGUUGGUUUCUAGGAUCGACGUAAUGAUUAAUAGGGAUAGUUGGGGGCAUUAGUAUUCAAUUGUCAGAGGUGAAAUUCUUGGAUUUAUUGAAGACUAACUACUGCGAAAGCAUUUGCCAAGGAUGUUUUCAUUAAUCAAGAACGAAAGUUAGGGGAUCGAAGACGAUCAGAUACCGUCGUAGUCUUAACCAUAAACUAUGCCGACUAGGGAUCGGAUGAUGUUAAUUUUUAAUGUACU